rnacentral:rRNA from 1 species
UACGUAGGGACCAAGCGUUGUUCGGAUUUACUGGGCGUAAAGAGCGCGCAGGCGGUCGUUCAAGUCGAGUGUGAAAGCCCCCGGCUCAACUGGGGAGGGUCAUUCGAUACUGAUCGACUCGAAGGCAGGAGAGGGUAGUGGAAUUCCCGGUGUAGUGGUGAAAUGCGUAGAUAUCGGGAGGAACACCAGUGGCGAAGGCGACUACCUGGCCUGUUCUUGACGCUGAGGCGCGAAAGCUAGGGGAGCAAACGGG